AGAAAGCAACAGACUUUGCCAGAGGAGGAGGGCACCUUCCGAAGUACAAGGCAAGUUUCCUGGGGUCUUGGAAUGCAGUGGUGUGAUCUUGGCUCACUGUCCCCCCAGGCUCAAGCCAUCCUUCCAUUUCAGCCUCACGAGUAGCUGGGACUACAAGCAUGCAUCACCAUGCCCAGCUAAUUAUUUGUAGAGACAGUGUUUCACCACAUUGCCCAUGAAGGGCUGGUCUUGAACUCCUAAGCUCAAGUGAUCUACCCUACCUUGGCCUCCCAAAGUGCUGGGAUCACAGGUAUGAGCCACCAUACUGAACACCCCCUUCCCCUACUCUUGACCUGCCAUUUCAGGAGCAUAUAUUCUUUACUUAAUUUAGAAAAGGAAAUCCCAUAUAUUUGAUAUAAAGUAUAAUAAUACCUUUUGAUUGUUACAGUAACAAAUUACCACAAAUUUUAGCAGCUUGAAACAUCACAGACUUCUUAUCUCACAGUUCUGUAAGCCAGCAGUCUGGGUUGGCUCAGCUGGGUUCUCUGCUCUGGGUCUUCCAAGGUCAAAGAAGGUCAAAGUCAAGGUGUUGGCUGGUUGGACUCUUAUGGGGAAACUCUGGAAAAAAACCUACUUGCAGUCUCGGGAUGUUGGCAGAAUUCAGUUUUGUGUGGCUGUGGGGCUUAGGUCCUGUUUCUUUGAUGGCUAUUGGUUGGGGGUUGCUCUCAGGUUCUAGAGGUCCCCCUUCCUCCAUUGUCAAAACCAGCAAUGGCAGGCUGAAUCCUUUACAAGCUUCCAAUUUCUCUGACCUCCCUUUCUGCUGCAUCCCUGACUCCAGUCAGAGAAUGUGCUCAGCCUUUAAGGGUUUAUGUGAUUUGGGACCCCUCAAGAGAUAAUCCAAAGAGCAGUAGAUGAAUAUCAUAUCCUGCUCCCUCACAGCAAGCAGUAUCUAGGUAAGUGUUUGAAUAACCAGGGUAGGAAUCUUGGGAGGCCAUCUGUAGAAUUCUGCCCUACCACAUUUUUGUAGUUUGUUGCUUUUGUUCAAGACCAUAUUAAAUCAAGAAAGACAAGUAGGUAGUCCCAUCACCUCUCCAGUAGAUUAUAUGCAAAUGCAAGACACUGACAGUGACAAAGCUCAAGCACUAAUCCUGCUGUGACUGUGUUCAACUUUAUAUCAAACCACUAACAACAUAUAUAUGUCAAUAAAACCUUACUUGACAAGCC
rnacentral:antisense_RNA from 1 species